rnacentral:rRNA from 1 species
UCAUUACCUAGAGUUGCGGGCUUUGCCUGCCAUCUCUUACCCAUGUCUUUUGAGUACCUUCGUUUCCUCGGGCGGGUUCGCCCGCCGGUUGGACAACACUUAAACCCUUUGUAAUUGAAAUCAGCGUCUGAAAAACUUUAAUAGUUACAACUUUCAACAACGGAUCUCUUGGUUCUGGCAUCGAUGAAGAACGCAGCGAAAUGCGAUAAGUAGUGUGAAUUGCAGAAUUCAGUGAAUCAUCGAAUCUUUGAACGCACAUUGCGCCCCUUGGUAUUCCAUGGGGCAUGCCUGUUCGAGCGUCAUUUGUACCUUCAAGCUCUGCUUGGUGUUGGGUGUUUGUCUCGCCUUUUGCGCGCAGACUCGCCUCAAAACGAUUGGCAGCCGGCGUAUUGAUUUCGGAGCGCAGUACAUCUCGCGCUUUGCACUCACAACGACGACGUCCAAAAAGUACAUUUUUACACUCUUGACCUCGGAUCAGGUAGGGAUACCCGCUGAACUUAAGCAUAUCAAUAAGCGGAGGA